rnacentral:rRNA from 1 species
GGGAUGACACAGUAGGAUAAGCUAAGCACACUGUUGGUUAUGUGUGCCCAAGCAUUGAGGCAGUCAAAGUAGGCAAAUCCGCUUUGAUAAUGCUGGGAUGGGAUGGGGAGCGAAAUUUAGUAGCGAAGUAGCUGAUUUCACACUGUCAAGAAAAGUCUCUAUCGAGGUUAAAGGUACCCGUACCGCAAACCGACACAGGUGGGUGAGGAGAGUAUCCUAAGGCCAGCGAGAGAACUGUUGUUAAGGAACUCGGCAAAAUGACCCCGUAACUUAGGGAUAAGGGGUGCCACCAUCAGGUGGCCGCAGAGAAUAGGCCCAAGCGACUGUUUACCAAAAACAUAGGUUUCUGCU